UCUUAAUUUUGAUGUCCCGACAGUUUUGACAAAUGGUAAAUUUUGUCCAUGUGAUGUGCCUUUCACUACUUCACUGUGUAUCUCUCUUUGUUACAAAUUGUUCAAUACUGACUUUGUCAAUGCUUGUAAUAGUAAUGCACUGAUCAAGUAGACCGAUUAAAAGAGAAAAAUUCUGAUUUUGAAGACUUGGCUUGAAUUCAAGAUUAUUAGCGCAACCUACAGAAGUAAAAAAAAUAGGCUCCUCACGCGUACAUGUACGUGUAACCUGCAAUCAAUUUGGCUCAUAAUCUUUGCUGAUGAUUGGGCAAAGUCGUGAAGCAUAAUGACACAGAUUAACCAUGUUGUACAUCACCAUGACAACACUGCUUACUUAACUUCACUGCUUGUACCAGUAACCUUGGCAACCCAAUUAAAGGCCCAGAGCCAAGAUAUGGGCUUAACAUGCAUGUAUUUGCCAAAGAAGCAGUGAUCAACUCUCAAUCACUGCUUUGCACACCAAUUCAAAAUGGUUGCAUCUCCAACGGUAUGAUUUGCUCAAACAAUCUGCUUCAUGAAGGUUCCUAGCAAUUGGUGAAAUCAGUACAGAAGAAUUAUUUUAAGAACACUUUGUGUUGGUCUGGUAGUAUCUAACAGUGAUGUUACCAAAACGGUUCAUCUUGGGCUUGAUGAGUCUUUAUCUAAUGACUGAGGCCACAGGCGGUAUUGAGAGGUGUGUGAUAAUUGGAGCAGCAUGUCCACCUGCUUGGAUCCAGUGGGAGGACAAAUGCUACAGAGCCACCCAGCCCUUGGGAUGGUUUGAGGCCAAACAGGAGUGCAUCAAGAUGGGAAGCGUCUUGGUUGUGCCACAGUCUAACGAAGAAAAUGAGUUCCUCGCAAGGAUAACACCAGAGUUUUGGAUCAAUUGCAACGAUCUUCAAAUUGAAGGAGUUUGGGUGUGCCUGGACGGAACUGCUGAAGUGCAGUACCAAAAUUGGGAACAGGGGGAACCAACCAGAUAACACCAGAGUGUUGGAUCAAUUGCAACAAUCUAGAAGGAGUUUGGGUGUGCCUGGAUGGGACUGUUGCAGUGCAGUACCCCAAUUGGGAAAAGGAGGAACCAAACAUUGGACUGGGUAAAGAGCACUGUGCUGAGGUGUGGAAACCUGGCCCAAGGAAUGACGGAACAUGUGACUCUCAGAAUCCUGCUAUCUGCAAACAACCCAUGGUACCCCGGCUGCACUUCUAACCUCGCAAAGCAAACUACUGUAUUUUGAUAUUGAAGGCUCUUUCAUACUUGCUGUGAAAGCCAACACAGAUGCAACUCGGUGACAUCAAACAUUUGUACUGUAAAUCUGCAUAAGUACACGUACAUGAAGAACACACCAACUCGGGCAAUUUUUCACUGCACAAUGUUGUGUCAUCCCACUUGCAGGUGAACUCAAAAGCAUUCAACCACAAUGUAAGUGAAAUUUAUUAUUACAAAUGGCCAUUUUGUUGAUCUUGGAAAUGACUGUCACACACUAGAACGCAUUCAUAAUCUAAUCAAGUUUAUCACUGCAUGUAAGUCAUCCUAACUCUACGGUGAUGUGCGUAUUGUUCAAGUUGUAAAUUUUCAAGAUUCAGAAUUUAAAAGUACAUUGUUAAUGGAAUACCAACAUGAACGAAUUUUCUGCCAAUUUUUGCUCAAUUUGUACUGUUUUCCAGGCAGAGCCUCAAACUGCACAUUUCACAGAGGAAUUACAGAACACGCAGAAAGUACCAAUUCAGUGUUUUUCAUCAAAAACGUUUUGCAUGUGAACAUUGUUAUAAAAACAGUUGCCUUGGAAACAGAGAAUCACAUUGAGAUGAAUGUUGCAGUUGACAGUUUAAAGUAUUGUGCUUGUGACUGUCAGAGAUUUCAACUGGGUAAAAUGAGCAUUAACACUGUCGGAUAUUUGAAAGAGUAAGGGUUGACGAUUUGCAUUUCAGCACUGUGAAUUCAUGUGAUCCUUUGUAUUAUAUUUCAAAAUUCACCUUCUACAAUUUGAUUGUAAUGUAUUUGUAUUGCAUUUGCAUUCAUUGUCCGAUUUCGGUCGGGGGAAACAGGAUGGCAGAUCAAUUAUUUUGACUUUAUACAAAAUGACGUUUGUCGUCAUUUCACUUAUAAGUUUAAGCAGUUAAACAGUAAGAACGCAAACACCUAUUUGUGCUACACAAUUUGCCGAGUAAAUUGUAAAUUAUAAAAGCAGUUUCUCAUCAUUUGAGUUGCUUUCUUAUACGGCAGAUUUUUCUGAAAUGGUGGAUGCAUCGUCUGAAUUCCUUUGCUGUUCCUUCUGUUUCUACAACAAGUACAUGUAAAACAACCUUCAUGGAUAUAAACAGCAUUUUGCUUCAUAGCCAUAAAUUGUUAGAAACAAAUAAUACACAGAAUAUAUGCUGCAUAUAACCUAUA